rnacentral:tRNA from 1 species
GCCUGGGUGGCUCAGUUGGUUGAGCGUCCGACUUCAGCCCGGGUCACGAUCUCGCGGUUCGUGAGUUCGAGCCCCGCGUCAGGCU